CCUAUGAAUAGUUUAAAUGGCCGCAGUAAUUUGACUGUGCAAAGGUAGCAUAAUCACUUGUCUCUUAAUUGGGGGCUGGAAUGAAGGAGGCGACGAAAUUUAGGCUAUUUAACUUUAAAACAAAAUUAACAUAAAGGUCAAAAGGCCUUUAUACACCAAAGGGACGAUAAGACCCUAUAAAACUUUACUAUCUAAUAAGGUUAUUUAGGCUAAACCUAAAUUAUAGUUUAACUGGGGCGGUUUACAUAAAAACAAUAAGAAUGAAAAUAUUUUAAAUAAAUUUAGAGAGCUCUAAUAGGAAAUGAACAAGUUACUUUAGGGAUAACAGCAUAAUUUUCCCAGAGAGUCCUAAUUGGCGGGAGAGCUUAUGACCUCGAUGUUGAAUUGGGAUAUCUAAUAUGAGUAGAAAUAUAUUAAGAUAGUCUGUUCGACUAUUAAAUUCCC
rnacentral:rRNA from 1 species